rnacentral:rRNA from 1 species
CCUACGGGAGGCAGCAGUAGGGGAUAUUGCACAAUGGGGGAAACCCUGAUGCAGCAACGCCGCGUGAGUGAAGAAGUAUUUCGGUAUGUAAAGCUCUAUCAGCAGGGAAGAGAAUGACGGUACCUGACUAAGAAGCCCCGGCUAACUACGUGCCAGCAGCCGCGGGAAUACGUAGGGGGCGAGCGUGAACCGGAUUUACUGGGUGUAAAGGGAGCGUAGACGGGUGGUCAAGUCUGAAGUGAAAGCCCGGGGGUUAACCCCGGAACGGCUUUGGAAACUGAGCAGCUAGAGUGCUGGAGAGGUAAGCGGAAUUCCUAGUGUAGCGGUGAAAUGCGUAGAUAUUAGGAAGAACACCAGUGGCGAAGGCAGCUUACUGGACAGUAACUGACGUUGAGGCUCGAAAGCGUGGGGAGCAAACAGGAUUAGAUACCCGAGUAGUC